rnacentral:rRNA from 1 species
UGUGUAGGCGGAUCGUUAAGUGUCUUGUGAAAUCCCCCGGCUCAACCGGGGAAUGGCUGGACAUACUGGCGGUCUUGAGCCACCUAGGGGCGAGCGGAACAAACGGUGGAGCGGUGAAAUGCGUAGAUAUCGUUUGGAACGCCAAUGGUGAAAACAGCUCGCUGGGGGUGUGCUGACGCUGAGACACGAAAGCCAGGGGAGCAAACGGGAUUAGAUACCCCGGUAGUCCUGGCCGUAAACGAUGUCCACUAGAUCGCAGGAGCUCUGACGUUCUUGCGGUCGAAGCCAAAGUGCUAAGUGGACCGCCUGGGAAGUACGGUCGCAAGGCUAAA